CCUACGGGAGGCAGCAGUAGGGAAUUUUCCGCAAUGGGCGAAGGCCUGACGGAGCAAUACCGCGUGAGGGAUGACUGCCUAUGGGUUGUAAACCUCUUUUUUCAGGGAGGAAUAAAUGACGUGUACCUGAAGAAUAAGCAUCGGCUAACUCCGUGCCAGCAGCCGCGGUAAGACGGAGGAUGCAAGUGUUAUCCGGAAUCACUGGGCGUAAAGCGUCUGUAGGUGGCUCGACAAGUCAACUGUUAAAUCUUGAAGCUCAACUUCAAAAUCGCAGUCGAAACUAUCGGACUAGAGUAUAGUAGAGGUAAAGGGAAUUUCCAGUGGAGCGGUGAAAUGCGUAGAGAUUGGAAAGAACACCGAUGGCGAAGGCACUUUACUGGGCUAUUACUGACACUCAGAGACGAAAGCUAGGGUAGCAAAUGGGAUUAGAUACCCCAGUAGUCCUAGCCGUAAACAAUGGAUACUAGGUGUUGAACAGAUCGACCUGUGCAGUACCAAAGCUAACGCGUUAAGUAUCCCGCCUGGGAAGUAUGCACGCAAGUGUGAAACUCAAAUGAAUUGACGG
rnacentral:rRNA from 1 species